rnacentral:rRNA from 1 species
CUCCUACGGGAGGCAGCAGUGAGGAAUAUUGGUCAAUGGGCGCAAGCCUGAACCAGCCAAGUCGCGUGAGGGAUGACGGUCCUAUGGAUUGUAAACCUCUUUUGUCGGGGAGCAAGGCCCGCCACGUGUGGCGGGAAGGAGAGUACCCGAAGAAAAAGCAUCGGCUAACUCCGUGCCAGCAGCCGCGGUGGUACGUAGGGAGCAAGCGUUAUCCGGAUUUAUUGGGUGUAAAGGGUGCGUAGACGGGAAAUUAAGUUAGUUGUGAAAUCCCUCGGCUUAACUGAGGAACUGCAACUAAAA